GGAGAAAUGGCAGAGUGGUCGAUUGCGUUUGAUUUGAAAUCAAAUGAUACAAUGUAUCCGUGAGUUCGAAUCUCACUUUCUCCU
rnacentral:tRNA from 2 species